rnacentral:rRNA from 1 species
AAAGAAAAUAACAAUGAUUCCCUCAGUAACGGCGAGCGAAGAGGGAUAAGCUCAAAUUUUAAAUCUGUUGGGUUCCACUUAACAGAGUUGUAUUUUGAAGAAACGUUUUCUGCAUCCAGGAUUAGCCUAAAUCCUUUGGGAUAAGGUAUCAUGGAGGGUGAGAAUCCCGUUCAUGGUUAAUCUUAAGGAAGCUUUACGAUACGUUUUCCAAGAGUCGAGUUGUUUGGGAUUGCAGCUCAAAAUGGGAGGUAAAUUUCUCCUAAGGCUAAAUAUUGGCGAGAGACCGAUAGCGAACAAGUACCGUGAGGGAAAGAUGAAAAGAACUUUGAAAAGAGAGUUAAACAGUACGUGAAAUUGUUGAAAGGGAAACGAUUGAAG